UGCACCGCCUGAUUAGUGGCGAACGGGUGAGUAACACGUGAGUAACCUGCCCUCCACUUCGGGAUAACCUCGGGAAAUCGUGGCUAAUACCGGAUAUGAGCACUCAUCGCAUGGUGGGUGUUGGAAAGAUUUAUCGGUGGGGGAUGGACUCGCGGCCUAUCAGUUUGUUGGUGAGGUGAUGGCUCACCAAGACGAUGACGGGUAGCCGGCCUGAGAGGGCGACCGGCCACACUGGGACUGAGACACGGCCCAGACUCCUACGGGAGGCAGCAGUGGGGAAUAUUGCACAAUGGGCGAAAGCCUGAUGCAGCGACGCCGCGUGGGGGAUGACGGCCUUCGGGUUGUAAACCCCUUUCAGUAGGGAAGAAGCGAGAGUGACGGUACCUGCAGAAGAAGCGCCGGCUAACUACGUGCCAGCAGCCGCGGUAAUACGUAGGGCGCAAGCGUUGUCCGGAAUUAUUGGGCGUAAAGAGCUUGUAGGUGGCUUGUCGCGUCUGCCGUGAAAACCCGAGGCUCAACCUCGGGCGUGCGGUGGGUACGGGCAGGCUA
rnacentral:rRNA from 1 species